AUGCCCCAGAACAUUGGCGACCAAACAUCAGAGGCCCAAUUAGUUACGAGACUGACUCAUUGGGGUUUCGCUCGCAGCAUUCUUGAGAUGUUCAGUGGCGUUCAGACUUGGUGUGCCAAAUCACCAGAUGAGAUUUAUCAGUCAGUUGUCCUGAAGAAAGAGAAACCGAUGUUCCUAUACAAUUUACCUAUGGAGGUCGCUAAUGUCCUCUCUGGCUGCUAUGAGUAUGACUUUCGGGAUCACUCCUUGAUGUUAGAUAUCUUACAGUCAUUUGAAAGGUUGGAGGUGACACAUGAACGCUGGCAAUGCAAAAUAGCAGAUAUAAAAUAA
rnacentral:rRNA from 1 species